UACGGGGGGGGCAAGCGUUGUUCGGAAUUACUGGGCGUAAAGGGCUCGUAGGUGGCCAACUAAGUCAGACGUGAAAUCCCUCAGCUUAACUGGGGAACUGCGUCUGAUACUGGAUGGCUUGAGUUUGGGAGAGGGAUGCGGAAUUCCAGGUGUAGCGGUGAAAUGCGUAGAGAUGUGGAGGAACACCGAUGGCGAAAGGCAGCCUUCUGGGCCAACACUGACGCUCAUGCACGAAAGCGUGGGGAGCAAACAGG
rnacentral:rRNA from 1 species